CAUCCGCCCACCCCAGCCCAGCGCGCCGCUGGAGCAGAACCGACGGCUACCCGCCAGUCCUCUGGGCCUGCACGCCGGCAGCUGGCGCCUCGCAGGAACAAAGCUGCCGCGCUUUGUCGGGCCUAAUGCCUCUCUGUGUUGUCACUUAAGGUCUUUAUUGGUAUUAAUUGAUGCGAUCGGUUGGUGCAACUUCAGCUCCCAUACUUCUCUUCUUUGCCCCCUUUCUCUCAGCCCGAUGUGUCUCAUGAGUUUUGGGCUUCUUCAAACAGGUGGGCUGGUCUGAGUUGAGAGCGAAGGAAUAAAUGCAGUAAAAUUCCAUCUGAACUCAAAGUAGAUCAAAGGGAAAGGAAGAAAAGUUUACACUGCUGCGCUGUCAGGUCGUAAGCACUGGAGGGCCGCAGAGAUGGCACUGAAGCUCAUCAUGGCAGACUGCUGAAAAGUGGAUUAAAGUCUUGUCUUAUUGCUGCAACUCCCUUACGGACUCAGGAGAGGCGAAGGUGGAGAUUCAUGCAUCCUCCGAAACACGACCCUGCCAAGCUGCACUGAUUCUUGACACACUACUCGCUUAACCCGGAAGGCAGCCUCACCACUUUUUUGGAGGAAACACUGUAUAACUGCAGACCGUGUCAGCGUGCAUGCGCCCGGCCCGCCACAGGAGUCGCUGGAGCGUGAUGGAACAAGGACAUCCUGGUCUGCCAAACCCUCCCCUAACAACGCUGGGCCAAUUGUGCGCCGCCUCAUGGGUCUCCCGGUCGCAGCUGGCUGCGACACAGCCCGGGAUCGAACCCGGAUCUGUAGUGAUGCCUCAAGCACUGCGAUGCAGUGCCUUAGACUGCUGCGCCACUCAGGAGGCCCUGUUGCUGCUUUUGAUUGUGAUUAUGUUUAUGGUGGUGCCCUUUUGACCUUUGCUCAAGAAAAGGAGUUCAGUCAAAUGGCAAUGUAAACACAGACUUAAGUACUUCAUUAUUUGUGUAUCGGAUGAUGGCACCUCAGAACAACUGAGGAUCCCUGGAUGUUCCACAUAGUGUUCCGCUGGCCUAUCUUUCUGCAUUCCUCCAAACACAGCUUCUGUAAUGGUAUAGCCCCCAUUGCACUCUUCACAACUCAUCUCUCAUUCUAAACAACGUUUGGACAAUUAUCACGGACACAUGAGCAUUAGGGCAAUUGCUAUGAGAGUAUUUCAUAGGUCAUUACUUUCCCAUAAGACAACAUUGAUGCAGUCAUUUGCGCUUGGCGUAGUAAGAACCCUUUCUUUAUGCUUUGGUUAUACUGCCCCCUCCCAAACCCUAUCCCGGAUGGGGGGCUGUACUAAGACAAAGACCAGUGGGAUGACUGAUAAGAAAAAGUGGAAUUUAGUGGUCAACAGGGGUUAAUGGCUUAAGAUGUUUUCAAUGUCAAAUAUAUGUGCGUGCUUGAUGGUCAUGCGAAAACAUGAGGUGCGUAUGUGUGUGUGUGUGUGUGUGUGUGUGUGUGUG
rnacentral:lncRNA from 1 species